UUUUUUUUUCCCCCAAAGAACCCCGAAGAAAUUGUGUCCCUCAUCGAUUUCAGAUACUUGUCGGACAUACUUACCAGGGAGGAGGCAAUAGGUACACAUGCAACAUACUUUAGUAUUGAAUGAGAUCAUUCUCAAGUCCACAGAAAUUAAUGAUCUUUCCCUCCACUGUUCCGCUUUAGAAAUUCUACAAAAGAAGAAAAGCACCAGGGCCCAACGAGAACGUGAGUUGACAAAUAAUGCCUACCCCGCUUACACCACUGCAUGCGGCUGGAUCGGCUACGGGGAUGAGAAAAUAAAAAAGGCAAGUGAUUAAUUCCAAUUGUAUGGCCACUACAGCCAAAAGCGAACAUUCGGUUUCUAGCAUGGAAGAUAUAAUCCUCUUAGCAGAGAGAGGAGAGAGUGAGCAAAAGUGGAAAGUGCCAUAUGUAUUAUGUCGGCCUUUAGGAACGAAUUUAUUCUGUUUUGGAUCGCACCACAUGGCCGAUCG